UGGGGGAUAUUGCACAAUGGGCGAAAGCCUGAUGCAGCGACGCCGCGUGGGGGAUGAAGGCCUUCGGGUUGUAAACUUCUUUUGCUCUGAACAAGGCAUGCCUUUGGGGUGUGUUGAGUGUAGGGGUUGAUUAGCGCCGGCUAACUACGUGCCAGCAGCCGCGGUAAUACGUAGGGAGCGAGCGUUGUCCGGAAUUAUUGGGCGUAAAGGGCUUGUAGGUGGCUGGUUGCGUCUGUCGUGAAAGCUCAUGGCUUAACUGUGGGUUUGCGGUGGGUACGGGCUGGCUUGAGUGCAGUAGGGGAGGAUGGAAUUCCUGGUGUAGCGGUGGAAUGCGCAGAUAUCAGGAGGAAUACCGGUGGCGAAGGCGGGUCUCUGGGCUGUUACUGACGCUGAGGAGCGAAAGCGUGGGGAGCGAACAGG
rnacentral:rRNA from 1 species